rnacentral:rRNA from 1 species
UACGUAGGGGGCAAGCGUUGUCCGGAAUCAUUGGGCGUAAAGCGCGUGUAGGCGGCUUGAUAAGUCUGCUCUGAAAGCCCGGGGCUCAACCUCGGAACUGCCUUCAAUACUGGCUAUCUUGAGUACGGGAGGAGGUGUGUGGAACUCCGAGUGUAGAGGUGAAAUUCGUAGAUAUUCGGAAGAACACCAGUGGCGAAGGCGACACACUGGCCCGUUACUGACGCUGAGGCGCGAAAGCGUGGGGAGCAAACAGG